GAUGAACGCUGGCGGCGUGCCUAAUACAUGCAAGUCGAACGAACAGACGAGGAGCUUGCUCCUCUGACGUUAGCGGAGGGCGUGUGAGUAACGCGUGGAUACCCUACCUAUAAGACUGGGAUAACUUCGGAAAACCGGAGCUAAUACCAGAUAAUAUAUUGCACCGCGUGGUUCGAUGGUGAAAUACGGUUUUGCGGUAACUUAUAGAUGGAUCCGCGCCGUAUGAGCUAGUUGGGAAGGUAACGGCUUACCAAGGCUACGAUGCGUAGCCGACGUGAGAGGGGGAUCGGCCACCCUGGAACGGAGACACGGUCCAGACGACUACGGGAGGCAGCAGUAGGGAAUCUGCCGCAAUGGGCGAAAGCCUGACGGAGCAACGCCGCGUGAGUGAUGAAGGUCUUCGGAUCGUAAAACUCUGUUAUUAGGGAAGAACAAAUGUGUAAGUAACUAUGCACGGCUUGACGGUACCGAAUCAGAAAGCCACGGCUAACUACGUG
rnacentral:rRNA from 1 species